AUGGUUUGCUUUAGAAUUCCUACGCUUUACCGUGAUUUGUUGAAAGUUUGGCAAAGCGUUUGGGUUCUGAAACGAAACAU
rnacentral:pre_miRNA from 11 species